rnacentral:lncRNA from 1 species
CGGAGGGGGGCGGGAGGUAAAGGGGGAAAUAAUCGGAAAGUUACCAGAAACAUUAUUUAGCAGCAAUUCCCCUCGUCUUGUCAAAGCCAGAGACCAAAAAAAAAAAAAAAAAAAAAAAAAAAAGGCAGCAGCGGCUCUAUAUGCACACAUAUAUCCACGCCCGUAUAUGUGCACACCCGGCAGCAGCGCUUCCCGAGGCGGCUCCCUGCGAGCCGGGAGCGGAGCGGCGCUGCGGGGAACGGCUGCGACGAGCGAGCGUGGAACAACCGCGAGGAGAGGCACACGCACAGCACUCACGCACACGCACGGCAAGCGCGGGGAUCACCCGGGCUCUGCUGGCUAACAGGGGCCGCCAUCAGCAGCAGCACCGGCGGAGAGCAAAUCGGACAGGCCCCUCUUAGGGAGGAUUUAUCUAUAGACUUCUCCUAUCCUCCGGUACGGGGAAACACCACCA